UACGUAGGUGGCGAGCGUUGUCCGGAUUUACUGGGCGUAAAGGGAGCGUAGGCGGGCUUUUAAGUGAGAUGUGAAAUACUCGGGCUCAACUUGAGCGCUGCAUUUCAAACUGGAAGUCUAGAGUGCAGGAGAGGAGAAUGGAAUUCCUAGUGUAGCGGUGAAAUGCGUAGAGAUUAGGAAGAACACCAGUGGCGAAGGCGAUUCUCUGGACUGUAACUGACGCUGAGGCUCGAAAGCGUGGGGAGCAAACAGG
rnacentral:rRNA from 1 species